GCUACCAUGCAAGUCGAACGAUGAACCGCUUUCGGGCGGGGAUUAGUGGCGAACGGGUGAGUAACACGUGGGCAAUCUGCCCUGCACUCUGGGACAAGCCCUGGAAACGGGGUCUAAUACCGGAUAUGACUGUCCGCCGCAUGGUGGAUGGUGUAAAGCUCCGGCGGUGCAGGAUGAGCCCGCGGCCUAUCAGCUUGUUGGUGAGGUAGUGGCUCACCAAGGCGACGACGGGUAGCCGGCCUGAGAGGGCGACCGGCCACACUGGGACUGAGACACGGCCCAGACUCCUACGGGAGGCAGCAGUGGGGAAUAUUGCACAAUGGGCGAAAGCCUGAUGCAGCGACGCCGCGUGAGGGAUGACGGCCUUCGGGUUGUAAACCUCUUUCAGCAGGGAAGAAGCGAGAGUGACGGUACCUGCAGAAGAAGCGCCGGCUAACUACGUGCCAGCAGCCGCGGUAAUACGUAGGGCGCAAGCGUUGUCCGGAAUUAUUGGGCGUAAAGAGCUCGUAGGCGGCUUGUCACGUCGGUUGUGAAAGCCCGGGGCUUAACCCCGGGUCUGCAGUCGAUACGGGCAGGCUAGAGUUCGGUAGGGGAGAUCGGAAUUCCUGGUGUAGCGGUGAAAUGCGCAGAUAUCAGGAGGAACACCGGUGGCGAAGGCGGAUCUCUGGGCCGAUACUGACGCUGAGGAGCGAAAGCGUGGGGAGCGAACAGGAUUAGAUACCCUGGUAGUCCACGCCGUAAACGGUGGGCACUAGGUGUGGGCAACAUUCCACGUUGUCCGUGCCGCAGCUAACGCAUUAAGUG
rnacentral:rRNA from 1 species